CACACACACACACACACACACACACACACACACACACACACACACACUCUCUCUCUCUGACCGCCUCUCUCCUCUCUGUCUAGUGAUGCAGUAUGGUAAAGUUACUACAGGUUCCUCUCUCCUCUCUGUCUAGUGAUGCAGUAUGGUAAAGUUACUACAGGUUCCUCUCUGUCUAGUGAUGCAGUAUGGUAAAGUUACUACAGGGUCCUCUCUCCUCUCUGUCUAGUGAUGCAGUAUGGUAAAGUUACUACAGGUUCCUCUCUGUCUAGUGAUGCAGUAUGGUAAAGUUACUACAGGUUCCUCUCUCCUCUCUGUCUAGUGAUGCAGUAUGGUAAAGUUACUACAGGUUCCUCUCUGUCUAGUGAUGCAGUAUGGUAAAGUUACUACAGGUUCCUCUCUGUCUAGUGAUGCAGUAUGGUAAAGUUACUACAGGUUCCUCUCUGUCUAGUGAUGCAGUAUGGUAAAGUUACUACAGGUUCCUCUCUCCUCUCUGUCUAGUGAUGCAGUAUGGUAAAGUUACUACAGGUUCCUCUCUGUCUAGUGAUGCAGUAUGGUAAAGUUACUACAGGUUCCUCUCUGUCUAGUGAUGCAGUAUGGUAAAGUUACUACAGGUUCCUCUCUGUCUAGUGAUGCAGUAUGGUAAAGUUACUACAGGUUCCUCUAUGUCUAGUGAUGCAGUAUGGUAAAGUUACUACAGGUUCCUCUCUGUCUAGUGAUGCAGUAUGGUAAAGUUACUACAGGUUCCUCUCUGUCUAGUGAUGCAGUAUGGUAAAGUUACUACAGGUUCCUCUCUGUCUAGUGAUGCAGUAUGGUAAAGUUACUACAGGUUCCUCUCUGUCUAGUGAUGCAGUAUGGUAAAGUUACUACAGGUUCCUCUCUGUCUAGUGAUGCAGUAUGGUAAAGUUACUACAGGUUCCUCUCUGUCUAGUGAUGCAGUAUGGUAAAGUUACUACAGGUUCCUCUCUCCUCUCUGUCUAGUGAUGCAGUAUGGUAAAGUUACUACAGGUUCCUCUCUGUCUAGUGAUGCAGUAUGGUAAAGUUACUACAGGUUCCUCUCUGUCUAGUGAUGCAGUAUGGUAAAGUUACUACAGGUUCCUCUCUGUCUAGUGAUGCAGUAUGGUAAAGUUACUACAGGUUCCUCUCUCCUCUCUGUCUAGUGAUGCAGUAUGGUAAAGUUACUACAGGUUCCUCUCUGUCUAGUGAUGCAGUAUGGUAAAGUUACUACAGGUUCCUCUCUGUCUAGUGAUGCAGUAUGGUAAAGUUACUACAGGUUCCUCUCUCCUCUCUGUCUAGUGAUGCAGUAUGGUAAAGUUACUACAGGUUCCUCUCUGUCUAGUGAUGCAGUAUGGUAAAGUUACUACAGGUUCCUUUCUGUCUAGUGAUGCAGUAUGGUAAAGUUACUACAGGUUCCUCUCUCCUUUCUGUCUAGUGAUGCAGUAUGGUAAAGUUACUACAGGUUCCUCUCUCCUCUCUGUCUAGUGAUGCAGUAUGGUAAAGUUACUACAGGUUCCUCUCUGUCUAGUGAUGCAGUAUGGUAAAGUUACUACAGGUUCCUCUCUGUCUAGUGAUGUAGUAUGGUAAAGUUACUACAGGUUCCUCUCUGUCUAGUGAUGCAGUAUGGUAAAGUUACUACAGGUUCCUCUCUGUCUAGUGAUGCAGUAUGGUAAAGUUACUACAGGUUCCUCUCUGUCUAGUGAUGUAGUAUGGUAAAGUUACUACAGGUUCCUCUCUGUCUAGUGAUGCAGUAUGGUAAAGUUACUACAGGUUCCUCUCUGUCUAGUGAUGUAGUAUGGUAAAGUUACUACAGGUUCCUCUCUGUCUAGUGAUGCAGUAUGGUAAAGUUACUACAGGUUCCUCUCUGUCUAGUGAUGCAGUAUGGUAAAGUUACUACAGGUUCCUCUCUCCUCUCUGUCUAGUGAUGCAGUAUGGUAAAGUUACUACAGGUUCCUCUCUCCUCUCUGUCUAGUGAUGCAGUAUGGUAAAGUUACUACAGGUUCCUCUCUCCUCUCUGUCUAGUGAUGCAGUAUGGUAAAGUUACUACAGGCUCCUCUCUGUCUAGUGAUGCAGUAUGGUAAAGUUACUACAGGUUCCUCUCUCCUCUCUGUCUAGUGAUGCAGUAUGGUAAAGUUACUACAGGCUCCUCUCUGUCUAGUGAUGCAGUAUGGUAAAGUUACUACAGGUUCCUCUCUGUCUAGUGAUGUAGUAUGGUAAAGUUACUACAGGUUCCUCUCUGUCUAGUGAUGCAGUAUGGUAAAGUUACUACAGGUUCCUCUCUCCUCUCUGUCUAGUGAUGCAGUAUGGUAAAGUUACUACAGGUUCCUCUCUGUCUAGUGAUGCAGUAUGGUAAAGUUACUACAGGUUCCUCUCUGUCUAGUGAUGCAGUAUGGUAAAGUUACUACAGGUUCCUCUCUGUCUAGUGAUGCAGUAUGGUAAAGUUACUACAGGUUCCUCUCUGUCUAGUGAUGCAGUAUGGUAAAGUUACUACAGGUUCCUCUCUGUCUAGUGAUGCAGUAUGGUAAAGUUACUACAGGUUCCUCUCUCCUCUCUGUCUAGUGAUGCAGUAUGGUAAAGUUACUACAGGUUCCUCUCUCCUCUCUGUCUAGUGAUGCAGUAUGGUAAAGUUACUACAGGUUCCUCUCUCCUCUCUGUCUAGUGAUGCAGUAUGGUAAAGUUACUACAGGUUCCUCUCUCCUCUCUGUCUAGUGAUGCAGUAUGGUAAAGUUACUACAGGUUCCUCUCUGUCUAGUGAUGCAGUAUGGUAAAGUUACUACAGGUUCCUCUCUGUCUAGUGAUGCAGUAUGGUAAAGUUA